rnacentral:rRNA from 1 species
AUACGUAGGGGGCGAGCGUUGUCCGGAAUGAUUGGGCGUAAAGGGCGCGUAGGCGGCCCGGUAAGUCUGGAGUGAAAGUCCUGUUUUUAAGAUGGGAAUUGCUUUGGAUACUGUCGGGCUUGAGUGCAGGAGAGGUAAGUGGAAUUCCCAGUGUAGCGGUGAAAUGCGUGGAGAUUGGGAGGAACACCAGUGGCGAAGGCGACUUUCUGGACUGUAACUGACGCUGAGGCGCGAAAGUGUGGGGAGCAAACAGGAUUAGAUACCCUGGUAGUCCUGGCCGUAAACGAUGGGUACUAGGUGUGGGAGGUAUCGACUCCUUCCGUGCCGGAGUUAACGCAAUAAGUACCCCGCCUGGGGAGUACGGCCGCAAGGCUUAAACUCAAAUGAAUUGACGGGG